GUGGAUUAGAUACCCUGGUAGUCCACGCUGUAAACGAUGAUCACUAGGUGUAGCGGGUACUCAUUCCUGCUGUGCCGUAGCUAACGCGUUAAGUGAUCCGCCUGGGGAUUACGGUCGCAAGACUAAAACUCAAAGGAAUUGACGGGGGCCCGCACAAGCGGUGGAGUAUGUGGUUUAAUUCGACGCAACGCGAAGAACCUUACCUGGGCUUGACAUCCCCGGCCAGCUCUGGAAACAGGGUUUUCUCCUUCGGGGGACCGGGAGACAGGUGCUGCACGGCUGUCGUCAACU
rnacentral:rRNA from 1 species